GAGAAAGAUUGCAAGAACUGCUAAUUCAUGCUUCCAUGUUUAAACACAUGGCUUUUUCAC
rnacentral:tRNA from 1 species